rnacentral:lncRNA from 1 species
AAUAACAAACCCUUCUGAUCAUGGAAAACCUGACACGCGUUUUUCCUGAUCACAAAAGACAAACCCUUUUCUUGCAGUUGUCCUAUGCUCAAUAGAUUGGUUUGCAAACUGGGGAUGUAAAAGACAUCCUGAAUGACCAGUGACAGCUGAUCAACCUGAAUUCUAAUAUUUCCCUUUCCUGCAACCUGGAGCUUUGUUCCAUUUCCC